UACAGAGGUCUCAAGCGUUGUUCGGAUUCAUUGGGCGUAAAGGGUGCGUAGGUGGCGCCGUAAGUCGGGUGUGAAAUUUCGGAGCUUAACUCCGAAACUGCAUUCGAUACUGGCGUGCUUGAGGACUGGAGAGGAGACUGGAAUUUACGGUGUAGCAGUGAAAUGCGUAGAUAUCGUAAGGAAGACCAGUGGCGAAGGCGGGUCUCUGGACAGUUCCUGACACUGAGACACGAAGGCCAGGGGAGCAAACGGG
rnacentral:rRNA from 1 species